rnacentral:rRNA from 1 species
UACGUAGGGUGCAAGCGUUGUCCGGAAUUAUUGGGCGUAAAGAGCUCGUAGGCGGUCUGUCGCGUCGGCUGUGAAAACCCGGAGCUCAACUCCGGGCCUGCAGUCGAUACGGGCAGGCUAGAGUCCGGCAGGGGAGACUGGAAUUCCUGGUGUAGCGGUGAAAUGCGCAGAUAUCAGGAGGAACACCGGUGGCGAAGGCGGGUCUCUGGGCCGGAACUGACGCUGAGGAGCGAAAGCGUGGGGGAGCGAACAGG